UCAGAACGAACGCUGGCGGCAGGCCUAACACAUGCAAGUCGAGCGAGACCUUCGGGUCUAGCGGCGGACGGGUUAGUAACGCGUGGGAACGUACCCUUCUCUAAGGAAUAGCCACUGGAAACGGUGAGUAAUACCUUAUACGCCCUUCGGGGGAAAGAUUUAUCGGAGAAGGAUCGGCCCGCGUAAGAUUAGAUAGUUGGUGGGGUAAUGGCCUACCAAGUCUACGAUCUUUAGCUGGUUUUAGAGGAUGAUCAGCAACACUGGGACUGAGACACGGCCCAGACUCCUACGGGAGGCAGCAGUGGGGAAUCUUAGACAAUGGGCGCAAGCCUGAUCUAGCCAUGCCGCGUGAGUGACGAAGGCCUUAGGGUCGUAAAGCUCUUUCGCCUGUGAUGAUAAUGACAGUAGCAGGUAAAGAAACCCCGGCUAACUCCGUGCCAGCAGCCGCGGUAAUACGGAGGGGGUUAGCGUUGUUCGGAAUUACUGGGCGUAAAGCGCACGUAGGCGGAUUGGAAAGUUGGGGGUGAAAUCCCAGGGCUCAACCCUGGAACUGCCUCCAAAACUACCAGUCUAGAGUUCGAGAGAGGUGAGUGGAAUUCCGAGUGUAGAGGUGAAAUUCGUAGAUAUUCGGAGGAACACCAGUGGCGAAGGCGGCUCACUGGCUCGAUACUGACGCUGAGGUGCGAAAGUGUGGGGAGCAAACAGGAUUAGAUACCCUGGUAGUCCACACCGUAAACGAUGAAUGCCAGUCGUCGGCAAGCAUGCUUGUCGGUGACACACCUAACGGAUUAAGC
rnacentral:rRNA from 1 species